GAUGAACGCUGGCGGCGUGCCUAAUACAUGCAAGUCGAGCGAACAGACGAGGAGCUUGCUCCUCUGACGUUAGCGGCGGACGGGUGAGUAACACGUGGAUAACCUACCUAUAAGACUGGGAUAACUUCGGGAAACCGGAGCUAAUACCGGAUAAUAUAUUGAACCGCAUGGUUCAAUAGUGAAAGACGGUUUUGCUGUCACUUAUAGAUGGAUCCGCGCCGCAUUAGCUAGUUGGUAAGGUAACGGCUUACCAAGGCAACGAUGCGUAGCCGACCUGAGAGGGUGAUCGGCCACACUGGAACUGACACACGGUCCAGACUCCUACGGGAGGCAGCAGUAGGGAAUCUUCCGCAAAGGGCGAAAGCCUGACGGAGCAACGCCGCGUGAGUGAUGAAGGUCUUCGGAUCGUAAAACUCUGUUAUUAGGGAAGAACAAAUGUGUAAGUAACUAUGCACGUCUUGACGGUACCUAAUCAGAAAGCCACGGCUAACUACGUG
rnacentral:rRNA from 1 species